AAGUGGCGCGAGGGAGCCGUUUACGGCUGGUCUCGCAGGCUGCUUCCGCCCUUCACUUACGGCCGUCGCCGGGAAACCGCGGAAGUGAGGGCAGAAGGCGGGCGGGAAGGAGCCGCGCGAGGUCGGGCGCGCGGUGGGGCCUAGCGAUACGCACGCGCAGGGGCUUUCCCGCGCUUGCGCGGACUGGGCCGCUGUCGCGCUACGCCCCGGAACGGCUGGAACGACGCAGACUACCGUUAGCCACGGCCGUGGCCGCCUCCCGCCUCUGCGUCGCAGCCGGAGGGCCCGGAAGGCCGCGUUCUCCCCUGGACCGGGGCUGUGGGCGGAUCCUCCCCGCGGGGCUGCGGUGAGAAGACUACGAGGUGAGUCAUUGGAGCGGCGCGGAAGGAGCGUCCACGUCCUGCGGGUGCCCGGCGCCUUCCUCAGAGAUGCAGUUACCUUGCUUCUCAAAUGAUGACGAAGUGAACGUGUGCCGGUGGUUGGGGAAGAGAACGGUGACCAGCAGCAGUAAACGUUAGCGUAGACUGUGGACGUCCCGUAACUGAACUGCCUGUGGUCAACCAGCUGAAGGCAUGGCAGGAGGAAUGACGUGGGAACAGAGAAAGUCCUGUUCUGUCCUGGAGCGGGCAGCAGCAUUCCUCGGGCCUGAUCGCAUCACCAAGCAAGCCUCUGGUCACAGAGGAGUUGCCCUGGGGAGACAAACAGGAGUAUUCCCAUCCUUGGAGAGCACACUCCCAGGUAGGAGUUUAGACUAGUGUCUGAACCGUGGGGCCACAUGCAGCACGAACUAGUCUCUGCGGGAACAGGCCCUGACUUGUUGGCGCUGCAGUGGCAGGCUACAAAGCCACUAGGUGGCUCCGACUGGAUGGCUCCUUCAAGGUCUUACUGUGGCAGUGUGGGCCAGACCACUGCAGUGAAAGGCUACACCUUGGAUGGCACCAGCUCCUCUUAGGAAUAUAUGACAAAGGUGAGGAAAAACAAAACAGUUCACUUUAUUUUGGCUGCUCUGCAGGGCAAAGGGCCCUGGCUUGGAAUCAUACACUCCUGGAUUCCAGGCUUGUUCCCUGGGCCAAACACAACUUUUGUUUCCACUUCCCUCUGAAAUGGGGCUAAUAUUUACUUGGGUGUUGAUGGUUAAAUGAGAUGUAUGUAAUACAAAAUACGCAAAUAAAAUAUCCUGAGAAUCGUUAAGUGCAAGUCAAAACAUCUCCAUUCUGCUCCCCUCAAAUUAAUUUCCCUGUACUUUGCUUAUUAGCAUUUUUCACAUACCUCCAAUCUAGCAUAGCGCUUAUAUACCACUUACUUAGUUAUAGGUCUAUAAAUUAAGUCAAGUGUGCUCUGAGGCUUGUAUCUAUCUCAGUUUCCUAUACAUAUUAAGUGUUCAGUAAAUAAUUGAAUGAAAGGAUUAUGAACUGAAAGGAUGUGGGCAGUGGUUUUAGCAGAAACUCCUACCCUUUAACUGUAACUGAAGAAAAUUCUGUUGGGAACUGGUUUCUGAGUAAUGUGGGGGGGGGAAACAGGCCCUGGAGGCCGACUUACUGUGUGAGUCCAAGUGACAACCCCUUUGAGCCUCGUUUUCGUCUGUAAAAUAAGGUUAAUAAAGCUUAACAUAAAGGGCUUAUGAGGAUUGUGUGAAAAAUCCACCAGUGUGUUAGGCACGUAGUAGGUCCUCAGUACUAGCUAUUACUCCUCAGAAAUCUGCUUCAUAUGCACAGCUGCCACACGUUCUUAGGUUUUCUGUGUUCUGUUCAAUAAAGGCAUGUUAAUUGCCAAGCUGUGAUUCUAAUUUUAUUCUACCAUCUCAUAAAUUUACAGAUCAGAUGUCUUAAUUUUUGGCUUGGGCGGGGGGGGAAGGUUGCAGUGUACUCUGAUGGGAGAAUCAAGUUGGUUUGUUCUUUCUAUGUCUUAUGUUUUGUUGGUGGGCACACUGAAGACAGGGUCACUCAGAAAGACCCUGACAAAUUAAGACCAAUCGUGAUUCCCUGGAGACCAUCUUUUAUUUUUGGUAAAUGCCAUCAAUGAAUAUAGAUACAGUAUCAUUCCCACAGAAGUUUAUAGCAUUUAAGUCUUGAAAACAGGUGACAAUUGAAAAAAGAAUCCACAAUUUUCAAUUCCUUUAAUAAUUUAAUAUUUUAUCCCCUUAAGGCUGUGAGGCCUUAAGGUAUCCAGGUCUGGUUAUGUCCCAGCAAUAAUAAAGGGCCUGUUCUAUGGUGUAUGCCAAAUACACAGCAAAAUUCAGAAAUCCCAAGGGCUUCUUCACUUCAACAUAUUUGGCUUCUCUCCUUUGUAAAAAGGGUUUGAUUUCCCUAGAACGAAUGACUUAAAAUAAGGUGCUCAAAAAGUCCACACCGAGUCUCAAAAUAGUGAAUGAACACUAUUCAAAAAUGCCCUCUGAGCCUCAGCUUCCCCUUCUGUAAAAUGAAGGAGUUGGGUUUAGUUAGUGUCUCAGGCAAGACCAUACCAUGGAUGGGUAGACAAAUUUGCUACCACAAACCCCAGCAGGGAGGAGGGUGAGGGGAACAGAGCUGCGAAUGUGCAUGUGGGAGUGGGGUGGGGUUGGUGGGCCAGGGCCAAAGUGGCUGGAAAGCUGGCCUUCAGGAGGUCAGUGUCAGCUCUGAACCUUCAAGUCUCAAAAAGUAUGUCUUUGUUUUUUGAUCUGAUGAUUUGGUCUAAUAUGAUUGUCUCAUUCAUUCCAGUGUAUGUACUUGGCUGUAGAUUUAUGUACAGAAUUAAAUACCCCAUUUAUUAAUUUAUAAACCAUAAUAAAAUGAGUCAUUUCCCCUCACUAGCAGAUCUUGCAUGGGAAAAGGAAAACAAAUGAAUAUACAAAUUUUAGCAACAUCAGGAAUUUCAUUAAACCUGAAAAGACGUGUAGUUGAUUUUGGAGUUUGGUUAUCUGUUCAAGGAGUCUGUUAUUUUCAUCAUAAAGACAACCACUAUAAUAUCUUUGUGCUGUAAAAUUCACCCCAUUUGUUGCUAUAUUCCCCAGUGAGAAAAGUUCAGCUAUAGACCGUAAUGCCUCUGGCAGAAGCACUCGGCAAGCUCUUUUCAAAUACCUUCAGGAUUUCUCCUUCCAGUUUUACACAGCAACUGUCUCAAAACUUGGGGCCAAAAUAAUUAUAAAGCAAACGAACAACACGGGGACCUGAGGCCGGUGGUGCAUAAACUCAAGCCAGAAGGGGACCAGGUGACCUCUCCAGGAACAGCCUGUUCAUAAGCUGACAAAAUAACCAAACCAGGAAUCAAUCAUAUGCUAUGGUACCUCCUCUGACAGGAAGAUGUCUCUCCCCAGGAGGUAAAGGGUGACCCACUAUCCCAUCUGCUGCUUGCUCCCCAGGUGCCUAUUCGACGAGUUAGGCACAGUGCUGAAGGAGGACGGCAGACAUCACCAAAGACUCACCAGCCAAGCCGGAGGUCCUCUCUGAGGGCAGGGUCCUCUUGUGAUGCUGGGAAAGACGGAGAGCCUCACCUGAACCUCGGCACACAAGUUAUCUGCUGGGGCCAUAUCAUUUUCCUGAUCUGUGAUUUAGCCAAACCCAAAUCAUAGCUUGGUGCUUGCCCCUUCUCCCCUUCACCAGGACAUGAUUCAGAUCCUAAUGCAAACACUGCCAGAUCAGGGCAUGGAAUCAAAGAAUCACCUCCUACUAAUGCUGAAAUGUAUCAAGACAGGCAUUGCCAGUAGGAGCUUUUCUUGUUUUUAAACAUUUAAGAACAAGAGGGUUUUCAGUCCAUAAGCCAGUCCUCCCUCAUGCGUCCCCCCCCCCCCACAGGGAACCAAGGCAUAAAUAUACACAACUACAAAACAUUCCCUAGAAAAAUGCAAGAUCCUCAUGAAAUUAACAUCUCCCCACCAAAUAUCCUACUAAGUCCUCACAGCAGUGGUGAAGACUCAUCAGAAAAGACAACACAAGUAUUACAGAAAUAGAGUUUGAAACACUGACAUGAUUUCCUAAUGCUCCUUCUGACAGCCCCACAGUCACUUCCUCCUCGCUAUCCCCAGAGAGGAGAGAGACCCUGCUCUGGCAAGGGAAGCGAGUGCACAGGAGACGCAGCUGCCCUCCCUCUGGAUCUGGACACAACACCGGCUCUGAUGUGCAGGUCAAAGAAUUAGGCUUCAGGUAUUCCAGGCUUAAUUGCAGCUUUUUUUUCUCUUUGGGACAUUUGCCAGUAGCUGCAAACAGCUAUGGGGUAGACCGGAAACUGGGUCUGUCUUUGUUUCUGGAGAUGCUUUUAAUAAACUCUGGCGCUCCUCUGCUCCAUGCCUGCCUCAGCCCUUCACCUAUCUGAGCAGUGAAAUGGAAGCAGCUAGUUUGUCGCUCUCAAGCACCCUUCCUUACAUCCUUUCCUUGGCCCCCAGGAAACCCUCUUGCCUGCUUGGAGGUCUGUAUCCACAGCGAUCUCACCCUUCCGGAGAGUUAUUUGGAAAUAUUAUCUGGAAAGCAGAACAAGAACUCUCAAAUACAUGACUCGGGGAAUAAGUCCAGAAAGAAAGGUUAAAAACCUGGCUAAGAUCUCCAUACCAACACAGCCCUCAGAUGAUAGACUCCAGGAAGAAAGGGCCUGGGACACUGGAGCUUGAGGGCAGUGGUCCUUCCUGCGGGGCAGCGUCCUGCUACCCCCAGGGGGCAGGGAAGCCCAGGGUCUGCUGAUGGUUAUGCACCGUCCCCUCGGCUGGGUUGUACAUUCACUGGUUGUCAGAAGUUUCUGGUACUGCUAGGGAGUGGGGGGAGGAGUCACACAAUGGUACCGCCCUGCCCUCUAGACUCUACACGUCAUAACGGUUCAAACUGUAGGAGUUUGGGUAGCUCUGCCGGCUGUACUGGAAGUGGUCUGUUAAGAUGUUGUUGCGGCCAUACUGAUAGUCCCCGUGCUGGGGGAAGAGGAUGCCAUUGUGGGGUUUUUCCAGGGGGUUCCGAUGAUGCUCCUUACUGCUCAGGUCCCCUGUUGUGACAGGGAGGAGGUGCUUCCGGGCUUGCUGAUUGGCAUCGUACUUGGUCUGCAAGGUCAAGAGAGCAAUGAGACAGUUGGCUCCUUCCCUAGGGCACGCUCACAGGACAGAAGGGAGCAAGUGGCAUCUAAGCAGCCCUUCACAGCCCAGUGAAGCACUGACCCAAGCAGGCCUCAGGUAUGGCCGGCCCUCCCUCUUAGCCAUCCAGGUUUUUACACUGGACUAAACAGGGCCUUCUCGAGGAGACAAUGAAAUCCCUGACAAAGCCUCUGUGGACCCAAGAGCCACGGCUGGAGUUGCACAGACCUAGAAUCAUCUACAUGGGAAAGGAAGACCGGGCCAGAGAGAAGCAGAGACACAGG